AAACGAGAUUCCGUAAGUAGUGGCGAGCGAACGCGGAAGAGGGCAAACCGAGAGUAGAAAUACUUUCGGGGUACGGACUGCUUUUAAGACUCAAUCUGUUAACCGAACGGCAUGGGAAGGCCGGUCAGAGAGUGUGAGAACCACGUAGGUGAAAACGGAGAGAGCUGCGCAGGAUCCAGAGUACGGCCAGACACGUGAAACCUGGUCGGAAUACGGGGGGACCACCCUCCAACCCUAAAUACUACCCAGUGACCGAUAGCGUAUAGUACUGUGAAGGAAAGGUGAAAAGCACCCCGGGAGGGGAGUGAAAAAGAACCUGAAACCCUGUGCCUACAAGCACCUAGAGCGCGUCAAAGCGUGAUAGGGUACUUUUUGUAGAACGGUCCGGCGAGCGAUUGUAUGCAGCAAGGUUAAGGACUUAAGGUCUGGAGCCGAAGCGAAAGCGAGUUUGAAAAGGGCGUUAAGUUGCAUAUAAUGGGCCCGAAACCGGGUGACCUACCCAUGGUCAGGUUGAAGUGGAAGUAAAAUUCCAUGGAGGACCGAACCGACCUCCGUUGAAAAGGCGGCGGAUGAACUGUGGGUAGCGGAGAAAUUCCAAUCGAACCCGGAGAUAGCUGGUUCUCCCCGAAAUAGUUUUAGGACUAGCCUCAAGUUAGAUACCUGGAGGUAAAGCACUGAAUAGCCUAGCGGCCGAGAGGUUAGCGAAGCUUAUCAAACUCAGAAUGCCAGAGUAUUGAUGCUUGGGAGUCAGACAGUGUCAGAUAAAUGUCAUUGUCAAAAGGGAAACAGCCCAGAUCUACAGCUAAGGUCCCAAAGUCAGGUUAAGUGGAAAACGAUGUGAAGAUACGCAGACAACCAGGAUGUUGGCUCAGAAGCAGCCACUCAUUCAAAGAGUGCGUAAUAGCUCACUGGUCGAGCGUCUUUGCGCGGAGAAUUUAACGGGGCUAAACCUGACACCGAAGCUUAGGCAAUACAGAAAUGUAUUGGGUAGGGGAGCGUUGUAUACGCGGAGAAACAGUAGCGCAAGCGGCUGUGGAGUGUAUAGAAGUGAGAAUGCCGGAAUGAGUAGCGCGAAUGCAGUGAGAAUCUGCAUGGCCGAAAGCCUCAGGUUUCUGGAGGAAGGUUCGUCCGCUCCAGGUUAGUCGGGAGCUAAGGUGAGGCCUAACGGCGUAGCCGAUGCACAGACGGUAGAGAUUCCGUCACCACCAAAAGAGUUAAACACAGGGACACAUAUGAAGUCUCGGAGCCGGGUGUUGGUUCCGGUAGCGAUCGAGGGAAGUUAGUACCGAAGUCCGGGAUGGAAGAUGGCGAGAAAAGCUGUGUGUAUUUCUGCGGUGCCCGUACCGCAAACCGACACAGGUAGGUAGGAAGAAGAUUCUAAGGCCAACGGGAGAAGGGUUGUUAAGGAACUCGGCAAAUUGACCCCGUAACUUCGGGAGAAGGGGUGCUCCAGAGAUGGAGCCGCAGAGAAUCGGCCCAAGCAACUGUUUACCAAAAACACAGGUUUGUGCUAAAUCGAAAGAUGACGUAUACGAGCUGACGCCUGCCCGGUGCUGGAAGGUUAAGAGGAGAUGUGCAAGCAUUGAAUCGAAGCCCCAGUGAACGGCGGCCGUAACUAUAACGGUCCUAAGGUAGCGAAAUUCCUUGUCAGGUAAGUUCUGACCCGCAUGAAAGGCGUAAUGAUUUGGGCACUGUCUCAACAGCCCGCCCGGCGAAAUUGUAGUACCGGUGAAGAUGCCGGUUACCCGCGACAAGACGGAAAGACCCCAUGGAGCUUUACUGUAGCCUAAUAUUGGGUUUCGAUGUUGCAUGCACAGGAUAGAUGGGACUCUGGGAAACCAAGGCUUUGGCUUUGGCGGAGAGGCCGUUGGGAUACCAUCCUUGCGAUAUUGGAAUUCUAACCUGCGGCUCUGAAUCGAGUCGGGGGACAUUGUUAGGUGGGCAGUUUGACUGGGGCGGUCGCCUCCUAAAGAGUAACGGAGGCGUUCAAAGGUUCGCUCAGCUUGAACGGAAAUCAAGCAAAAGAGUGCAAACGCAGAAGCGAGCCUAACUGCGAGACUGACGGGUCGAGCAGUAACGAAAGUUGGAGUUAGUGAUCCGGUGGUAUGUGAGUGGAAAUGCCAUCGCUCAACGGAUAAAAGUUACCCUGGGGAUAACAGGCUGAUCUCCCCCAAGAGUCCACAUCGACGGGGA
rnacentral:rRNA from 1 species